CCGUGAUAACGUAGCAUAAUCAUUCGCCACCUAAUUAGUGGAUAGUAUGAAUGGUAAAACGAGUAUAACACUCUCUCAGAAGGAAGUUUUAUGAAAUUGGAAUGGUAGUCAAGAUACUACCUAAAACUGUAAGACGAAAAGACCCUAUAGAGCUUAACUACACCUUUCUCACAAAGUUAAGUUCACUUAAGUUCAAGAAAGGUUGGUAGUUUAGUUGGGGCGACUGCUUUCUAGUAAAAACGAAAGCAAGCAAUAUUAAUUAUCUAAUUUACUGUCUAAUCUAUGUGUUUAACAGUUAUAAAAAUAGGCAAUAGUGACCCGUUAGUAACAAAAAACACCACUAACGAACAAUAAAUAAAAGCUACCUUAGGGAUAACAGGAUAAUCUUGUUCUAGAGACCCUAUCGAAAACAAGGUUUGUCACCUCUAUGUUGAAUUAAGAUAUCCUAGAAGUGUAGAAGCUUCUGAGG
rnacentral:rRNA from 1 species